AACAGGAUGCAGUCCUACUUCCUAGCAGAAGGGGCGAGCGGGCGCCUCCCGUCACACCCCGAAAGGCCUCCCGGGGGCCCGAUUACCCCGGGGAGCUUCACUCCCAACUGAGACUUUGCCCGGUGAACCGACCUCCUCCGACCUCAGGCGUUUACCGGGAAAACUUGGCGCGUUAGUUACAACGAGAUCGACAGAGCAGGCUGGCGAGGGCGGCAAGGAGUGUGUGUCACUUUGUGUUGCAGUCGGUGAGCAGAGGCAGGAAGCCCAGAAGAGGCAGCGGAGGGGACUGGGGCCGAAGGCCAGCGACCCGCGCCCUUAAGUUCUGCUCCGGGAACGAAGCAAAAACGCCCCAGGUGGAGCGAGAUCUGGAGUGAACCCUGACAGGCAGAGGUGGCCCUGUCUGCAGAAGAUCAGCC
ensembl:lncRNA